UACGUAGGGGGCAAGCGUUGUCCGGAAUCAUUGGGCGUAAAGCGCGUGUAGGCGGUCCGGUAAGUCGGCUGUGAAAGUCCAGGGCUCAACCCUGGGAUGCCGGUCGAUACUGCCGGACUAGAGUUCGGAAGAGGCGAGUGGAAUUCCCGGUGUAGCGGUGAAAUGCGCAGAUAUCAGGAGGAACACCGGAGGCGAAGGCGGCUUGCUGGGCCAGUUCUGACGCUGAGGAGCGAAAGCGUGGGGAGCGAACAGG
rnacentral:rRNA from 1 species